CGAGGAAUCUUGGUCAAUGGGGGCAACCCUGAACCAGCGACGCCGCGUGGAGGACGACGGCCCUUGGGUCGUAAACUCCUUUUGCCGGGGAAGAUAAUGACGGUACCCGGCGAAUAAGCCACGGCUAACUACGUGCCAGCAGCCGCGGUAAUACGUAGGUGGCGAGCGUUGUCCGGAUUUACUGGGCGUAAAGCGCGCGUAGGUGGCUGUACAAGUCCUGUCGUGAAAGGUCGCGGCCCAACUGCGACAGCGCGGAGGAUACUGUACGGCUUGAGGGCAGCAGAGGCCGGUGGAAUUCCCGGUGGAGUGGUGAAAUGCGUAGAUAUCGGGAGGAACACCAGAGGCGAAGGCGGCCGGCUGGGCUGUACCUGACGCUGAGGCGCGAAAGCGUGGGGAGCGAACCGGAUUAGAUACCCGCGUAGUCC
rnacentral:rRNA from 1 species